rfam:Asian citrus Psyllid, Diaphorina citri - Florida Strain, whole genome shotgun sequence.
CCUAGUUAGCUUAGUUGGUAGUGCGUCUGCCUUGUAAGCGCUAGGCCGCGGGUUCGAUUCCCGCCUGGG